rnacentral:rRNA from 1 species
ACUUAAAUUGAAGAGUUUGAUCAUGGCUCAGAUUGAACGCUGGCGGCAGGCCUAACACAUGCAAGUCGAACGGCAGCACAGAAGAGCUUGCUCUUUGGGUGGCGAGUGGCGGACGGGUGAGUAAUGUCUGGGAAACUGCCCGAUGGAGGGGGAUAACUACUGGAAACGGUAGCUAAUACCGCAUAACGUCG